UACGGAGGAUCCAAGCGUUAUCCGGAAUCAUUGGGUUUAAAGGGUCCGUAGGCGGUUUAGUAAGUCAGUGGUGAAAGCCCAUCGCUCAACGGUGGAACGGCCAUUGAUACUGCUAGACUUGAAUUAUUAGGAAGUAACUAGAAUAUGUAGUGUAGCGGUGAAAUGCUUAGAUAUUACAUGGAAUACCAAUUGCGAAGGCAGGUUACUAUCAAUAUAUUGACGCUGAUGGACGAAAGCGUGGGGAGCGAACAGG
rnacentral:rRNA from 1 species